UUGAGGUGUGAGCAGCCUAGACCAAAGUUGUGCCAUCUCUUGUUGACAAAGGAAGACAAGAUAGCUGGUUGGGUUGAGUAGCAAAGGCUAGUAGGCAAGUCUGCCUUGUGAGCGUUAGUCUUGUGAGUUGAGACUUGUAAGACCUUUUUGUAUUCUUUCUCAUAGUGAUUUGUUCUCCGGCAUAGUGCCAGCAGUUGUUUUCCUCAUCUUGAGGUUUUUUACUGUGUCAACAUAUCGUGUGUCUCUUGUGCAAUUGUUUGCGUUUUUAUUUGAUUUAUUCUGCUGCAUAUUCUGGAAUUUUUGCUUAUAGGAUUGUUACACUAUUUCAGUCCUGCUGUGGUGUUUGAGUAUUAAGAAACAGAUCAGUUGGC
rnacentral:lncRNA from 1 species